CCAGGGAACUACGAGCAAAGCUUAAAACCCAAAGGACUUGACGGUACCCCACAUCCACCUAGAGGAGCCUGUCCUAUAAUCGAUACCCCACGCUAAACCUCACCACCUCUCGCCUACUCAGCCUGUAUACCUCCGUCGUCAGCUUACCACGUGAGCGCAACUCAGUGAGCUUAAUGCCUAUACGCCAAUACGUCAGGUCAAGGUGCAGCAAAUGAGGUGGAAAGAGAUGGGCUACACUCUCUAAUAUAGAAAAUACGGAAGACUAUUUAUGAAAUCUAGUCUAAAGGCGGAUUUAGAAGUAAAAAGGAAAAAGAAUGCCCUUUUUAACUCGGCACCGGGGUGUGUACACACCGCCCGUCACCCUCUUCAAAGCCACCAAAAAGUAAAUAACUAACUAAUGCAACACAGAAGAGGCAAGUCGUAACAUGGUAAGUAUACCGGAAGGUGUGCUUGGAAACGAAGUGUAGCUUAAAUAAAGCAUCUCGCUUACACCGAAAAGAUACCUGUUAAAUCCAGAUCCCUUCGAGCUAAAAAUUUAGCCCCAACCACCAAAAUGCCACACAAAAACUCCAUCUCAUCAACUAAAACAUUUUUACCUUUUAGUAGAGGCGAUUGAAAAAUUACUUGGAGCUACACAAUACUGUACCG
rnacentral:rRNA from 1 species